rnacentral:lncRNA from 1 species
UCACGAAUUUGAGACCAGCCUGGGUAGCAUGGUGAAACCCAGUCACUACUAAAAAUCCAAAAAAUUAGCCAGGCGUGGUAGUACAUGCCUGUGAUCCCAGCUGCUUGGGAGGCUAAGGCACGCGAAUCGCUUGAACCUGGGAGGCGGAGAUAGCAGUCAGCCGAGAUCACACCCACUGCACUGCAGCCUGGGUGACAGAGUGAGACUGUCUCAAAAAAAAAAAAAAAAAAAAAGUGUAAUAAGUCAGAAUACAAUGUAGACACGUCUUGUUUUGAACACAAUUUAAAUAAUGUAAUUUAAUUACU